rnacentral:rRNA from 3 species
AGGCGAAAAGAACCCCGGCGAGGGGAGUGAAAAAGAACCUGAAACCGUGUACGUACAAGCAGUGGGAGCCCCACCACUAAGCCAGUGGUGAACUCCACAUACGCAUCCUUUGCUGAAGGUGCGGUUAACGGAGCGCAAGCGACGUUCAACCUCAAAAGAAGCAGAGGGGGCUUAGUGGUGGGGUGACUGCGUACCUUUUGUAUAAUGGGUCAGCGACUUAUAUUCUGUAGCAAGGUUAACCGCAUAGGGGAGCCGGAGGGAAACCGAGUCUUAAUUGGGCGUUAAGUUGCAGGGUAUAGACCCGAAACCCGGUGAUCUAG